CGAGGUAUAGCUCAGUGGUAGAGUGCACAUUUAGCAUGCACAGGGUCCUGGGUUCAAUCCCCAGUACCUCCA
rfam:Camelus ferus unplaced genomic scaffold scaffold1066, whole genome shotgun sequence.